AUGUUUUCCAAACUAGCACAUUUGCAGAGCUUUGCUGUACUUAGUCGUGGCUUUCAUUCUUCAGUGGCUUCUAUAUCUGUUGCAACUGAAUAAACAGUCCAAGGCCCUCCAACCUCUGAUUACAGUUUUGAAAGGGAAUCUAAGUGUGGUGUGCACAAUUACCAUCCUUUACCUGUAGCCCUGGAGAGACGAAAAUGUAUUUACUUAUGGGCUGUUCAUUGCUGAUGAAAUACACAUAGGAUUGGCCAGAACUGGUAGAUGGCUGGCUGUUGAUCAUGAAAAUGUCAGACCUGAUAUAGUCCUCCUUGGAAAGGCCCUUUCUGGGGGCUGACACUCUGUGUCGGUGGCGCUGUGGGACGAUGACAUAAUGCUGACCAUUAAGCCAGGCGACCAUGGGUCCACAUACGGUGGCAAUCCACUAGGCUAACAAAAUGGGUAUUCUCUUGAGAAAUGAACCCAUGAAGCUACCUUCUGAUGCUGUAACUGCUGUAAGAGGAAAAAUAAUUAUUAAAUGCUAUUGUUAUUAAAGAAACCAAAGAUUGUGAUGUUUGGAAGG
rnacentral:lncRNA from 1 species